AAGGUUUUAUUGCUAACCAUACUAUACCAUAUCAUGUCACAAAAAGCCACAUCCGAACAAGCUGUUAGGAACACCGCAGCUCCGCUGCUCGUGGCCGGGAAUUAACUCUGUGGACUCUGCAAUUUCACAACCAGGAAUCAGUGUCUGCAAUUCAUCUUCAUUGGGUACUACUCAUAUGGCAGACUCCGUAAAUUUGGAGAUGGAGGAUGAGGAUAAUUAUGUUGAAUAUGUACCAGUUGCAAAGCGCCGAGCGAUGGAGGCUCAAAAGAUCCUUCAGAGGAAGGGAAACUCUUCCGUUUUGGAAGAGGAAGAGGAAAAAUCGAAGCUUGUUGAGGCUAAGCCGAGUUUGCUUGUGAAGGCCACCCAGCUGAAGAAAGAGCAACCUGAGAUUAGUCCUACUGAACAAGUAGUCUUGCAAAAGAAAGAGAUGAUUGGGCAUUUAUCUGAUCGAAAGACAUUAAUGUCGGUUCGCGAACUAGCUAAAGGUAUUACUUAUACAGAGCCUUUGUUAACUGGUUGGAAACCACAAUUAGCCACCAGACGGAUGUCAAAGAAAGCCUGUGAUGCCAUUCGAAAGCAGUGGCAUAUUAUUGUGGAUGGCGAAGAUAUUCCUCCACCAGUAAAAAAUUUCAAGGACAUGAGGUUCCCCGAACCCAUAUUGAAGAAACUUAAAGCGAAGGGGAUUAUUCAGCCGACGCCAAUACAAGUGCAGGGCCUUCCUGUUAUUUUAUCAGGUCGCAAUAUGAUAGGUAUAGCUUUUACAGGCUCUGGAAAAACAUUGGUUUUUGUUUUGCCACUUAUCAUGGUGGCUUUGCAGGAAGAGAUUAUGAUGCCUAUUGCUCCUGGGGAAGGGCCACUCGGUUUGAUUGUCUGUCCAUCUAGAGAGCUUGCAAGACAGACGAAUGAAGUUAUAGAACAAUUUUUAGAACCUUUCAAGGAGUAUGGUUACCCUGAAUUGAGGCCUUUGCUGUGUAUUGGUGGAGUUGAUAUGAAGUCCCAAAUUGAUGUUGUCAAGAAGGGAGUGCACAUUGUGGUUGCUACACCUGGAAGGCUCAAAGAUAUGUUAGCAAAGAAGAAAAUGAACCUUGACAAUUGCAGAUACUUGACACUGGAUGAAGCAGACAGAUUGGUCGAUCUCGGUUUUGAAGAUGAUAUUAGGGAGGUGUUUGAUCAUUUCAAAGCUCAAAGACAAACUCUUCUAUUUUCUGCUACAAUGCCCACGAAGAUCCAGAAUUUUGCAACGAAGUGCAUUAGUUAAACCAAUAACUGUGAAUGUGGGGUGGGCUGGAGCAGCCACCUUGACGUGAUUCAGGAAGUGGAGUAUGUCAAGCAGGAAGCAAAGAUUGUUUAUCUUCUCGAGUGCUUGCAAAAGACUCCACCCCCCGUUCUGGUUUUCUGUGAGAACAAGGCUGAUGUGGAUGAUAUCCAUGAAUAUCUUCUCUUAAAAGGAGUUGAAGCUGUGGCUAUUCAUGGAGGCAAGGAUCAAGAGGAUAGAGAGUAUGCAAUUGCAUCAUUCAAAUCAGGAAAGAAAGAUGUUCUAGUUGCCACUGAUGUUGCCUCUAAGGAGUUGGAUUUUCCUGAGAUCCAGCAUGUAAUUAACUAUGAUAUGCCUGCCGAAAUUUAAAACUUCGUGCAUCGGAUUGGACGAACAGGAAGAUGUGGAAAAACAGGAAUCGCCACAACCUUUAUCAACAAGAAUCAGAGUGAAACAACUCUCCUUGAUCUGAAACACUUGUUACAAGAAGCGAAACAAAGGAUCCCUCCUUUCCUUGGGGAGCUAAAUGACCCUAUGGAUGACGUUGAGGCAAUCCCGAAUGCAAGUGGGGUAAAGGGUUGUGCAUAUUGUGGUGGGCUUGGUCAUCGUAUCCGUGACUGCCCCAAGCUAGAGCACCAAAAGAGUGGGCAGAUAUCCCAUUCAAGGAGAGACUACUUCGGUUCUGGAGGUUAUCGUGGAGAAAUUUAAUUCCCUUGCCAAAUGUAUCUUCUUCUCUUUGUAGCUUGAUUAUAGUUACUACUCAUAAGUUUCUCAAUGUAAAAUGUAACAUUCAUGGUUAAUUUAAACGUUAUUGUUUCUUGAACAGUGUUAGAUGUUUUAACUUUUUGUUCCAGAAUUCCAGAUGUAUCUCAACGUUAGACAGAUGUGAGCGUCUAUUUUAUGUCAUCAAUAUUUAUGUUCACUUUGGAUCA